AUGAAGAAAUAGAUUUGGCUCUGAUAUGUUGGAUUUUCUCAAGCAAGUCCCAUAUCGAAAAUAAAAGCGUUUAAUUCUAAUCAGAGACAGCCGGGAAAAAAAGAAAAAAAAAAAAAACCUCCUGGCUUCCUGCCUCUUGAAAGCCUCUCCUUCAAAAUGUUUUGAGGACCUGCAAUGUGCCAGGAAUAUUACAGCAAAUGAGUCUUCUUUGGUGGUCCAGCCACACCAGCCCUUAUACUUCACAGCGUGAGUGCCAGGAAGUCAGAGCACAGAUGGGAGGUGGGGCAUGGAAGCAGUGUUUGUCUUGGAUGAUAAAGAGCCACUAAAUCUGUGUUGCUGAGUCUGCUGUUUGCAUGCAGGAAUGUGAAGGACUGCUCAAGUUGGAGAUACAAAUUGAAGCCAGCCCCAGUUCAAAACUGUUACAAAUGGAGUCUGUAGGCAUGAGGGGCUGACUAUAUAACUCAGAGUUCUCCAGUACUUUACUUUAAUAAAGAACACAAUCUUUAUUAAAGGAUAAGUAAUAAAAAUGUGUUGAUGUGCAACUUAUGGAUCUAUUAUUAAAACUCAACAGUCAUUGCAGCAAUGUUUAGAACUUAAGCAAACAAAAGUUUUGUGAGGGGGCAAUUUUAUCAAUGACAUUGUUUAGAAAUGUUGGUAGAUGGUGAUCAUAAAAAGCAGAUCAAUGUUUUAUUUCACUUGGGUUUUUAAAAAUUAUUUUUAAAAAAUU
rnacentral:lncRNA from 10 species